rnacentral:lncRNA from 1 species
UCCACUUUCAGGCACAGCAAAUUCAUGGAACUUCAUAACUAUCUCGCUUGUGAAAAUUAAUUUCUUAUGCCAUACGGCAACAGAAUACGAGAUAGAUCAAGUAGAAAUCAACUUAAUGCUAAGAUGAUAACUCCUAAUCGAACAAGUAAAGCAAAAGAUUAGCAUCCAUGAAGAAAAAGCAAUUCCUUCUGUAAGAUAAAAUUUUAUCCUGGAAUCUUAUUAUACAUGGUUUUAAUAGAAAUCUGAAAACGUCACUAAGAGUAAAAGGAGAAAGAAACAAUAAAAGCCUAAAAUGUUGAAGCAAAGAUGACAUGGGAGAGAAAAAAUUUAACAUAAAAGCUUCUCAUCCUUGAUCCUGGGUACAUGCUUUAAUAUGGUCAAUCGAUCUCCACUGUUGGAAUGUUCUUAAUCUUGUAAUUCUCUUCGCCACUUACUUUCCUUGCAAGAUCUUCAUGAAGCUCUAUUGUGCUUCUAGAGUUUGUUGGGAGGGAGGGGCGGCUCCGUGAGGUAGGCUAC